UUAGAGUUUGAUCCUGGCUCAGGAUGAACGCUAGCGGCAGGCUUAACACAUGCAAGUCGAGGGGCAGCAGGGAGUAGCAAUACUCUGCUGGCGACCGGCGCACGGGUGCGUAACGCGUAUGCAACCUACCUUAAACAGGGGAAUAACUCAGGGAAACUUGAACUAAUGCCCCAUAUUCUUGCGGGAUCGCAUGGUCCUGCAAGGAAAGCCUUGGUGGUUUUAGAUGGGCAUGCGUGACAUUAGGUAGUUGGCGGGGCAACGGCCCACCAAGCCGACGAUGUCUAGGGGAACUGAGAGGUUGGUCCCCCACACUGGAACUGAGACACGGUCCAGACUCCUACGGGAGGCAGCAGUGAGGAAUAUUGGACAAUGGUCGGAAGACUGAUCCAGCCAUGCCGCGUGAAGGAAUAAGGUCCUAUGGAUUGUAAACUUCUUUUGUACGGGAGCAAUAAGGGCGUCGAGACGUCCGAUGAGAGUACCGUACGAAUAAGCAUCGGCUAACUCCGUGCCAGCAGCCGCGGUAAUACGGAGGAUGCGAGCGUUAUCCGGAUUUAUUGGGUUUAAAGGGUGCGUAGGCGGAAUGCCAAGUCAGCGGUGAAACGCACGUGCUUAACACGUGACCUGCCGUUGAAACUGGUGAUCUGGAAUACGGAUGCUGUGGGAGGAAUGUGUGGUGUAGCGGUGAAAUGCAUAGAUAUCGCACAGAACACCGAUUGCGAAGGCAUCUCACAAAUCCGUUAUUGACGCUGAGGCACGAAAGUGUGGGGAUCAAACAGGAUUAGAUACCCUGGUAGUCCACACUGUAAACGAUGAUGACUCGCUGUCGGCGAUAUACAGUCGGUGGCCAAGCGAAAGCGAUAAGUCAUCCACCUGGGGAGUACGACCGCAAGGUUGAAACUCAAAGGAAUUGACGGGGGCCCGCACAAGCGGAGGAACAUGUGGUUUAAUUCGAUGAUACGCGAGGAACCUUACCCGGGCUCUAACGGUGCAGGAAGAGAACUAGAGAUAGUGACGUCCUUCGGGACCUGCAUCGAGGUGCUGCAUGGUUGUCGUCAGCUCGUGCCGUGAGGUGUCGGCUUAAGUGCCAUAACGAGCGCAACCCUUGUCGUCAGUUACCAGCAAGUAGCGUUGGGGACUCUGGCGAGACUGCCACCGUAAGGUGAGAGGAAGGGGGGGAUGACGUCAAAUCAGCACGGCCCUUACGUCCGGGGCGACACACGUGUUACAAUGGUGGGUACAGAGGGCAGCUAUCCGGCGACGGAGUGCAAAUCUCGAAAACCCAUCUCAGUUCGGAUCGGAGUCUGCAACUCGACUCCGUGAAGUUGGAUUCGCUAGUAAUCGCGCAUCAGCCAUGGCGCGGUGAAUACGUUCCCGGGCCUUGCACUCACCGCCCGUCA
rnacentral:rRNA from 1 species